GGGGAUUUAGCUCAGGGUCUAAGCACCCACCUGUCAAGUGUGAGAUCGUAAGUUUAAUCCCCA
rnacentral:tRNA from 1 species